UACGAGGGGGGCGAGCGUUGUUCGGAAUUAUUGGGUUUAAAGGGUGCGUAGGCGGGCUAUUAAGUCAGUGGUGAAAGCCCCAAGCUUAACUUGGGAACUGCCAUUGAUACUGAUGGUCUUGAGUACAUUUGAGGUGGGCGGAAUGUGUCAUGUAGCGGUGAAAUGCUUAGAUAUGACACAGAACACCGAUUGCGAAGGCAGCUC
rnacentral:rRNA from 1 species